UGGCGGCGUGCUAACACAUGCAAGUCGAACGAAGCUGACGAUGAUCCCUCGGGUGAUUCGGAUAUGACUGAGUGGCGGACGGGUGAGUAACGCGUGAGGAACCUGCCUUUCAGAGGGGGACAACGUUUGGAAACGAACGCUAAUACCGCAUAAUAUUGUUUUGUGGCAUCGCAGAGCAAUCAAAGAUUUAUCGCUGAAAGAUGGCCUCGCGUCCAAUUAGCUUGUUGGUGAGGUAACGGCCCACCAAGGCGACGAUUGGUAGCCGGACUGAGAGGUUGAACGGCCACAUUGGGACUGAGACACGGCCCAGACUCCUACGGGAGGCAGCAGUGGGGAAUAUUGCACAAUGGGCGCAAGCCUGAUGCCAGCAACGCCGCGUGGAGGAAGACGGUUUUCGGAUUGUAAACUCCUGUUCUUAGUGACGAAGAAGUGAUGGUAGCUAAGGAGCAAGCCACGGCUAACUACGUGCCAGCAGCCGC
rnacentral:rRNA from 1 species